GGAAAGACCCCGUGAACCUUUACUAUAGCUUUACACUGAACGUUGAGUUCGUCUGUGUAGGAUAGGUGGGAGGCUAUGAAACCAUGGCGCUAGCUGUGGUGGAGCCAUCCUUGAAAUACCACCCUGUCGUGCUUGACGUUCUAACCUGGGCCCAUUAUCUGGGUCGGGGACCGUGUAUGGUGGGUAGUUUGACUGGGGCGGUCUCCUCCUAAAGAGUAACGGAGGAGCUCGAAGGUACGCUCAGCGCGGUCGGACAUCGCGCACUGUGUGCAAAGGCAUAAGCGUGCUUGACUGCAAGAUCGACGGAUCAAGCAGGUAGGAAACUAGGACUUAGUGAUCCGGUGGUUCUGUAUGGAAGGGCCAUCGCUCAACGGAUAAAAGGUACUCCGGGGAUAACAGGCUGAUACCGCCCAAGAGUUCAUAUCGACGGCGGUGUUUGGCACCUCGAUGUCGGCUCAUCACAUCCUGGGGCUGUAGUCGGUCCCAAGGGUAUGGCUGUUCGCCAUUUAAAGUGGUACGCGAGCUGGGUUCAGAACGUCGUGAGACAGUUCGGUCCCUAUCUGCCAUGGGCGUUGGAGAUUUGAGAGGGGCUGCUCCUAGUACGAGAGGACCGGAGUGGACGAACCUCUGGUGUUCCGGUUGUCACGCCAGUGGCAUUGCCGGGUAGCUAUGUUCGGAAGCGAUAACCGCUGAAAGCAUCUAAGCGGGAAGCGCGCCUCAAGAUGAGAUCUCCCGGGGCACAAGCCCCCUGAAGGAACCAUGUAGACUACGUGGUUGAUAGGUCAGGUGUGUAAGUACAGCAAUGUAUUGAGCUAACUGAUACUAAUGAUCCGUGCGGCUUGACCAUAUAACCUCA
rnacentral:rRNA from 1 species